GUAAAAAAAUAGGGUAAACACUUGUCAAUAUUGUGUAAACCUAUUUCAAAAUUAAGCUUUAUAAUAUUUAUUUAUUAUAUAGAAAUCCUCCAUAUUUUUAAUGAAAUUCAAAAUAUAAGUAAUUUUCAACUUAAUAAUAAAUUUUCUUCCCAUUGAUUUCUUCACUCUGUACAAAACAGAGAAGAUGGCAUAGAAAGAAAAUAAAUUCCUUUCUGCAAUUCUCUUCCCCUAUUCAAAUAAGGAAAAAUUCCCAUUUUACUUCAAUCCAAGCAUGGUUUUUUUGUUUAAUGAGGAUCCCACGCCACGGCUGGCUUUUUUGAUUUGCAUGUAAUUCCCAUUAAUUUAAUUAGGCAGAGUUGGUGUUGACUGUCCCCUACUGUUGUUAUGGAAAGGAAGACUCGCCAAUGAAUAUAGGGUAAAAUUCAUUUAACUCUACAACAUAUAGCAUGCACGUGAAUUUUCCUAUUCUAACAAAGCACGGGACUUUGCUUGUUAGCUACAAAUUCCAUCAUAAUCAUAUUCAUUCUCACUCACCAAUCCAAUAACAAACAUGUCCCCAUCUCAUUCUUUCUUCCUUCUCUCCUCCCUCUUGCUUCUUUUCUCAAUCCUCCAUACUCCCCCUGAUGCUGCUUCCUCUCCCACUAAACUAGUGGACAAGAUCUGCAAGCGAACUUCAAAUUACACCUUCUGCGUGGAGUCUCUUUACUCAGACUCACGCACCUCAGAAGCUGAUCAAUACACACUGGCCUUUAUUGCAGUCAGAUUAGCAUACGUGAAUGCCAACACCACCCGAGAUCACAUUUCUCAACUGCUCCAAUACCGGAAACCUCUCGAAAUAUGCAUCCGCGGCUACCAAUUGGCUGUUUCCGCUCUUGAAAAGGCUUAUAACGACUUGAACUCGGAGACCUUCUUCGAGUUGGCUGAUUUGGCGAGCCAAGCUGCUGCCGGUGCCGAUGAUUGCGAGGCUGUUUUCCAAGGAAACCGGUCCCGACCAUUGGGAAACAGGAAUAAGGAUUUAAAGGGUCUGUGCGAAAUCUGUGGAAUCAUUGGUAAAUUAUUUACUGGACUUUAAUCUGCGAUUGUUCCACAUAUUCUUGUUAAUGGAUUCUACAUAUUCUUGUUAAUGGAUUCUUGUAAUAUUGUUGAAUCUCUUGUGUUCCAUGGCCAAGCUAAGGUAUUUGCUCGGCCUUCAUUAUCAGUAUCACAGAAAUCAAUCUGUGGAUAGAAAAGUUUCAUUAGGUUUACAACUGGAAGACUUUGGAUGAAUCAUCAAGGCCAAACCAUGUGGACCCAAUAGCUUGUGUCCUGACAAAUUAACAGUAUGCUUUAACGUGAUUCAACAGUUCUAUUUUAACGUCACAUGAACAUGAUAAGAGAAAUAUGGUCCAUUCUAUUUCUAUAGGCCCAAGCUAAUCAAAAUACAUUGGAGUUGGGCCCAAUCCAAAAUUUUUUUGUCCAAUUAUAGAAUAUUGUUGUCCA
rnacentral:misc_RNA from 1 species